rnacentral:misc_RNA from 1 species
UUUCCGUAGGUGAACCUGCGGAAGGAUCAUUAUCGUAUAGCCGAGGUGCGAGGGCUGUCGCUGACCCGAAAGGUCGUGCACGCCCGAGUGCCCUCACACACAUCCAUCUCACCCCUAUGUGCACCACCGCGUGGGUCCCCCUUUGGCUUGUUCGGAGGGGGGCUUACGUUUUCACACAAACUUUGUAUGCAGUGUAGAAUGUAUUUUUUGUUUUUGCGAUCACGCAAUCAAUACAACUUUCAACAACGGAUCUCUUGGCUCUC